ACUCCUGGCCUCAAGCUAUCCUCCCACCUUGGCCUCCCAAAGCACUGGGAUUACAAAUGUGAGCCACUGUGUCCAACCACAAGAAUUAUUAAAAGGAAUUUUACUUAAGUAUCUACUUCCAGAUCUCUCCAUGUUUUUUUUAACUCUGCUAGUUACAAAAUAAAAGAAUUACCUCAUCAGCCUCUGUAGGGGAAGAUGAAUUGUGUGGAAUGGGUUUGAAAUGAAGGAUAGUUAGAUGUAGAAGGUAAAGCAAAAGGAAUCAGCUUUUUGUGUCUGACAGAGGAUCUGAUACUUGAUGGUCUGACCACAAGGUAUCUCUCAGAAAUUGCCAGUCCUUUUCACCCAGUGCACAGCCAGCUGCUUUGAGCAGAGAGAGCCAUGGUUGGAACUCCUGCUUCGUGACUUGGGGGCGGAGGCAGAGCUUGCCGCUGAAUGCAGCCACUGCCCACAACCCCUGCACACUCCUCUUCCCUUGCACUGGCUUCUUGCUGCCAGCAUCUGCAAGUCUUUGCCUGGAGGUGGAGCAAGAGGGUGCUGGGCCCAUUUGACAGGUGGCUAGUGCUGGAAGUUCAUGGUCUUCACCCAGUUUCAGGUAGAGGUUGCAGGAUAUACGACCCAGCUUCCUGGCCCCAGGUGGAACAACCCUGAGACAUGUUCGCCAUUUCCCGCAGGCCUCCCAGUGGGACUGACCCCUAGUUGCCUUCAGUGGCAAUCUGCUCAUUACCACUUCUUGUGUUGAUUUUUUUUUCCCUUCACUUUCUCAUUUUUCCAUUUCCUUGUUGGUCCCAAUUAACUAUUUGCACAUGAAUCUUUGCCUCAGGGUCUGCACCUGGGGGACCCCAAAGACACAGACACUUGAGCUCUUACUCUGCCUUUAUCCUAGACCUAGCAUUGGUCUCCAGAGGUCACUCAUGACUUAAUGGCCCAUCUUAAUGGCCUCUUUCCCCGUGUGUUCCUUGGUUGAUGUGUCUUUCUGUACUAAGUAGAGUUUUUGGGUGGCAAGGAGGCAGUUAGCACAGGGAACUAUGUAGCAAGGGACAUGGAGACUAAAUAGCAGCUGGCCCAUUUCUCUGGCUUCUCAUGGCCAAGCCUGGCACACACAGCUGCCCUCGUGCAGAUCCAGAACUAUGGCUCUUGUUCCCUCAGGACCCAUCCUCAAAGCUAGUGACUUGGUCUUUUCCUAUGACAAAGGAGCUCUCAGAAUGUGGCAGUCCCCCUUCUUAGGGGGAGAAUCUGACUGGGUCAGGGAGGCACCUCCAGUUUGCAGAGCCCCCAUUGGUCAGGUUCAGUGUCCAAAACACCUGAGGGGCAAGUGGCUUCUUGAAGUCCAGCCCAUAUGGCUACUUUUGACUUAGACAUUCAAGGCACAGGAACACAUGACACAGGCACAGGGUGUGACAACUGCAUGCAGAAAGAGCCACUCUCAUUCCUCAGAAGAGGCUGUGGAGAUGAGUGGCUGAGCCAUGUGCCCCAAAAUUCAUGUCGAAGUCCUAACCCCCGGUGUCUUAAAAUGUGGCCAUAUUUAGAGGUAGAACCUUUAAAGAGUGAGCUAGGUGAGAGUGAUUCAUAAGGAGAGGCCCUACUUCAGUGUGACUGGCGUCCUUAGGAGAAGAAGAAAUUAGGGCGCAGACACACAGAGGGGACAGCGCGUGAGGACAUGGGGAGGAAAUGCCAGUUGCAAGCCAAGGAGAGAGGCCUCGGAAGAAACCAGCCCUCCUGAUACCUUGAUCCUAGACUUCCAGCCUCCAGAACUGUAAGAAAAUACAUUUCUGUUGUUUAAGCCACCUGGUCUUAGAGUUCUAUCUUGAAUUUCUCUCUGCUUUAGACUUUUCUGUUUUGUUUUUUAGCCUAAGUGUUAUUGAAAAGAGCAGAGAAGAUAGAGUGCAGGCCCCUAGAGACAGGAUGGAACGGAACAUGCAGUGUGAGUCUGCCUCCUGCUCAGCAUACGCUCUUGGUCCCCACUGGUCCAUCUCACUGCUGACUGGCAUCCUGCAGAACAGACAGAUUGCACAGGGGCAGCUCUUUCCUCCAAAGCUGCAAUGUGGUUCAUUAAGUCCUCAGAUUUGGGAACUCAUCCAGGCACUUGAGUUCAAACAUACAGUUCUGAUCUAAGACUUCACAGGUAAGAAUAUCCAAAAAGGUGAGCUUUCUCCCUGGAAACCAUGAUUUCCUCAGAAACAAGGAGAAAUGUUUCAGCUGCCCAGGUUGCGGUUCCAAGUAUGGAGGCUUCCAUGUUUCAUGGUCAGGGUCAUGGUGGAGCUGUUUCAGCUGCAGGUGGGAUGCCACCAUUUGCUCCUCCCUGAUGUCUCCUGGCACCUUUCAUUCUUCAGUCGCACCACUCUGAAGAAGCGUGCUUGCGAGCGCCGCGGGACGAUCCAGGACGUUCCAGGAUUGUGGACGAUCCUGUUCUUCCCAUCUGUGAGGGCCUGGAUCACAGUUCCUCAAGCUUUGUGAUACAAACGAAUCACCUGGGAUUUGGAUAAAAUGCAGAUUCAUGUUCAGCAGCCCUGGCGUUCUGCAUUUCUCAUGAGCUCCAGGAAGACACUGGCGCUGCUGGGUGGUGAGGGAUUGGCAGGCAAUUCCAGGUGUUGCCUUAGAGAUGGCCUGCUAUUGCACUGCCAGUAGGUAGCUGCCACAGUGAUGGCUGCUCCAGAGCAAGGGGAGAACCUUUUGAAAAGGAUUCUUGAAUCAUCUGGGAAAUAAAUCAAGCCAUAUGAGUAAAAAGUAAUCAAAAAAUACAUUGAAUAUUGGAACCAGAGGAAAUCUUAGCAUCAUUUUGUAAUGACUCCCUGCACAAAUUUUCCAGAUGAGGAAACUGACAAAGCCAGGUGGCCUGUGACUAAGGAGCAAGAUGCUCAGCGAGGUCUCCCUGCUGCACUCCCGUGCACUUCCACAGUGAUACCCUGCUGACAGACACAGGAAAUGUUGAACAUAGCUAUCUUUAAAAUUAAGACCAUGACUGCCCUAAACAUUUACAAAGGACCAACCAUGAGAAAAAAGCCUGUACCAGAAAUCAGAAGAUGGCUUUUGUCCAUGUACAACCUUGGACGAGUUAAUUACUUAUCAGUGCUCUCUGAGCCUUUUUCCCCACUGGUUACAAAAAAAGAAAAGAAAAGAAAAGGAUAUGCCUGCCCUUCCUAAUUCACAGGGCAUUGCAGGGAGGUAAGGUAGUUAAUAUGCUGAAUCACUUCAAAAGGGUGGAGCUGAACUCACAGUGGGAACCCUGUCACACACACAUUUCCAUGACAAGGAUAUUGGUGAGGUGAGGGAGGUGGGGAGAGGCAUGAGGAUGGGAGACAAAGGGGUGGGAUAGGGAAUGGGGGAAGGAGGAAGCCAGAGGGACAGGCCCAGGCUAGGCUCUGCAGUCAGAAGGUGAGCGAGGUAGAGAAUUAGCAGCACACUGUCCAUGGAUAUUUGUGGUGAUGGAAAUGUACUGUAUCCAUGCUCUCCAACAUGGCAGCCACUAGCCACAUGUGGCUAUCAAGCACUGGAAAUGUAGCUAGUGUGAUUGAGGAACUGAUCUUUAAUUUUUCUUUGUUAUUAAUUUCAGUUUAAAUAGCCACAUGUGGCCAGUGGCUUCUGUAGCAAAGAUCUAGAUCAUUUGUUUGAAGCAGUAAAAAGAGAAAUGUGAAUCCCCUCUUCUUACCUCCUAUAACAUGCUAAUUAACAUCACUGCAAUUAACCACCAUUCACAGCUCUUCAGCUGCUCUGUGGAACCUCAGCCCACUCUGAAAUGAACAGCCACAGUGGCAGGGGUUACAGAAUGGGCUGGGAGUGGCAAUGCAGAUUCAUCUCUUCACACACUCUUUAUGCCCUCAAUCAAAAAUGCCUCAGGCUGUGUAAAAUUCCAUAAAUAAUAAAGAGAUUUAAAAAAUA